rnacentral:rRNA from 1 species
UACGUAGGGUGCAAGCGUUAAUCGGAAUUACUGGGCGUAAAGCGUGCGCAGGCGGUCUUGCAAGACAGAUGUGAAAUCCCCGGGCAUCCAAGCCUGGGAACUGGCAUUUGUGAUCUGCAAGGCUAGAGUACGGCAGAGGGGGAUGGAAUUCCGCGUGUAGCAGUGAAAUGCGUAGAUAUGCGGAGGAACACCGAUGGCGAAGGCAAUCCCCUGGGCCUGUACUGACGCUCAUGCACGAAAGCGUGGGGAGCAAACAGG